AUGCUCCACCAGCAGCACAUACACUAAAAUUGGAACAGUAAGGAUAUUAGCAUGACCCCUGUACAAGAAUGACAUGCAAAUUCAUGAAGUGUUCCACCUUUUU